GAUGAAGAACGUAGCGAAAUGCGAUACUUGGUGUGAAUUGCAGAAUCCCGUGAACCAUCGAGUCUUUGAACGCAAGUUGCGCCCGAAGCCAUUAGGCCGAGGGCACGCCUGCCUGGGUGUCACACACCGUUACCCUCGCGCCAACGUCCAUCGUUGGCCGCGGCGCGGGGCGUGCGCUGACCUCCCGCGAGCGGGGUCUCGUGGUUGGUUGAAAAUCGAGUUCGCGGUCGAGGGUGCCGUGAUGAAAUGGUGGAUGGGCGACGCCCGAGGCCAAUCACGCGCGACUCUUUCCGGCUCGGACUCCUGGACCCCUUCGGCGUCUCCGGACGCUCUUUGGCGAGACCUCAGGUCAGGCGGGGCUACCCGCUGAGUUUAAGCAUAUCAAUAAGCGGAGGA
rnacentral:misc_RNA from 1 species